UUUGAUGGGCGUCGACCGGCGCACGGGUGAGUAACGCGUAUCCAACCUGCCCACCACUUGGGGAUAACCUUGCGAAAGUAAGACUAAUACCCAAUGAUAUCUCUAGAAGACAUCUGAAAGAGAUUAAAGAUUUAUCGGUGAUGGAUGGGGAUGCGUCUGAUUAGCUUGUUGGCGGGGUAACGGCCCACCAAGGCGACGAUCAGUAGGGGUUCUGAGAGGAAGGUCCCCCACAUUGGAACUGAGACACGGUCCAAACUCCUACGGGAGGCAGCAGUGAGGAAUAUUGGUCAAUGGACGAGAGUCUGAACCAGCCAAGUAGCGUGCAGGAUGACGGCCCUAUGGGUUGUAAACUGCUUUUAUAAGGGAAUAAAGUGAGUCUCGUGAGACUUUUUGCAUGUACCUUAUGAAUAAGGACCGGCUAAUUCCGUGCCAGCAGCCGCGGUAAUACGGAAGGUCCGGGCGUUAUCCGGAUUUAUUGGGUUUAAAGGGAGCGUAGGCCGGAGAUUAAGCGUGUUGUGAAAUGUAGAUGCUCAACAUCUGCACUGCAGCGCGAACUGGUUUCCUUGAGUACGCACAAAGUGGGCGGAAUUCGUGGUGUAGCGGUGAAAUGCUUAGAUAUCACGAAGAACUCCGAUUGCGAAGGCAGCUCACUGGAGCGCAACUGACGCUGAAGCUCGAAAGUGCGGGUAUCGAACAGGAUUAGAUACCCUGGUAGUCCGCACGGUAAACGAUGGAUGCCCGCUGUUGGUCUGAAUAGGUCAGCGGCCAAGCGAAAGCAUUAAGUAUCCCACCUGGGGAGUAC
rnacentral:rRNA from 1 species